CAGCAUAGAGUAGCAAUACUUUGAUGGCGACCGGCACACGGGUGAGUAACACGUAUGCAACCUACCUACAUCAGGGGAAUAACCCGGAGAAAUUCGGACUAAUNCNNCAUAAUACAGGGAUGCCGCAUGGCAAUAUUUGUUAAAGAUUUAUCGGAUGUAGAUGGGCAUGCGUUCCAUUAGCUAGUUGGUAAGGUAACGGCUUACCAAGGCAACGAUGGAUAGGGGAACUGAGAGGUUUGUCCCCCACACUGGAACUGAGACACGGACCAGACUCCUACGGGAGGCAGCAGUGAGGAAUAUUGGUCAAUGGACGAGAGUCUGAACCAGCCAAAUCGCGUGAAGGAAGACUGCCCUACGGGUUGUAAACUUCUUUUGUACAGGAAUAAAAGACAUUACGUGUAAUGUAUUGCAUGUACUGUACGAAUAAGCAUCGGCUAACUCCGUGCCAGCAGCCGCGGUAAUACGGAGGAUGCGAGCGUUAUCCGGAUUUAUUGGGUUUAAAGGGUGCGCAGGCGGGAUUUUAAGUCAGCGGUGAAAUUUUCAGGCUCAACCUGAACACUGCCGUUGAAACUGGGAUCCUUGAGUAUGGAUGAAGUAGGCGGAAUUCGUUGUGUAGCGGUGACAUGCUUAGAUAUAACGAGGAACUCCGAUUGCGUAGGCAGCUUACUAAGCCAUAACUGACGCUCAAGCACGAAAGCGUGGGGAUCAAACAGGAUUAGAUACCCUGGUAGUCCACGCCGUANACGAUGAUUACUAGUUGUUUGCGAUAUACCGUAAGUGACUAAGCGAAAGCGAUAAGUAAUCCACCUGGGGAGUACGCCGGCNACGGUGAAACUCNNNGGAAUUGACGGGGGCCCGCACAAGC
rnacentral:rRNA from 1 species